rnacentral:rRNA from 2 species
GUCUGUGUGUAAAAAUAUUUAGUCUGGCCUGCCCACUGAAUGUUUAAAGGGCUGCGGUAAUUUGACCGUGCAAAGGUAGCAUAAUCAAUAGUCUUUUAAUUGGAGGCUUGAAUGAAAGGUUUGACGGGAAGAGGACUGUCUUUUUGGUUUAUAUUGAAUUUAACUUUUGUGUGAAAAGGCAUUAAUAUCUUAGUGGGACGAUAAGACCCUAUAAAACUUGAUAUGUGGUAUAUCACUUCUUAAAUUUGUUUAUUAAUUAUAAAGUGGUUGAAUGUAUUUUGCUGGGGCGGCAUGGAUAUAAUUUGUAACUGUUUGUAAGAUGAAAUAUAUAUGAAUAGAUUUUGGUCCUUCAGUGAGGAGGUAAGAGUAAGUUACUUUAGGGAUAACAGCAUAAUUUCUCUUGAGAGUUCGUAUCGAAGGAGGUAGUUGUGACCUCGAUGUUGAAUUAAAUUUUCUUCUAGGUGCAGUAGUUUAAGGAGAAGGCCUGUUCGGCCUAUAAAUAUUU